UUACCCCAGGCCCCUGUGCAAAUAUACUAAAAUUGGAACGAUAUAGAGAAGGUUAGCAUGGCUCCUGUGCAAGGAUGACAUGGAAAUUUGUGAAGUGUUCCAUAUUUAU
rnacentral:snRNA from 1 species